GACAGAGGGUGCAAACGUUGCUCGGAAUCACUGGGCGUAAAGGGCGUGUAGGCGGGAGAGAAAGUCGGGCGUGAAAUCCCUAGGCUCAACCUAGGAACUGCACUCGAAACUUCUUUUCUUGAGUACCGGAGAGGAAAGCGGAAUACCUGGUGUAGAGGUGAAAUUCGUAGAUAUCAGGUGGAACACCAGUGGCGAAGGCGGCUUUCUGGACGGUAACUGACGCUGAGACGCGAAAGCGUGGGGAGCAAACAGG
rnacentral:rRNA from 1 species